rnacentral:misc_RNA from 1 species
UCCGGUUUGUCACCGGCAGUCUCAUUAGAGUGCCCAACUGAAUGUAGCAACUAAUGACAAGGGUUGCGCUCGUUGCGGGACUUAACCCAACAUCUCACGACACGAGCUGACGACAGCCACGCAGCACCUGUGUCCCGACCUAUUGCUAGGAGGAAUCCGUUUCUGGAAACCGUCCGGGCAUGUCAAGGGCUGGUAAGGUUCUUCGCGUUGCGUCGAAUUAAACCACAUGCUCCGCCGCUUGUGCGGGCCCCCGUCAAUUCCUUUGAGUUUUAGCCUUGCGGCCGUACUCCCCAGGCGGGGCGCUUAAUGCGUUAGCUGCGGCACGGAGAACGUGGAAGGUUCCCCACACCUAGCGCCCAACGUUUACGGCGUGGACUAC